UGGGGAAUAUGCACAAUGGCGAAAGCCUGAUGCAGCAACGCCGCGUGAAGGAAGACGGUUUUCGGAUUGUAAACUUCUGUUCUUAGUGAAGAAUAAUGACGGUAACUAAGGAGCAAGCCACGGCUAACUACGUGCCAGCAGCCGCGGUAAUACGUAGGUGGCAAGCGUUGUCCGGAAUUACUGGGUGUAAAGGGAGCGUAGGCGGGAAGCCAAGUCAGCUGUGAAAACUACGGGCUUAACCUGUAGACUGCAGUUGAAACUGGCUUUCUUGAGUGAAGUAGAGUUGGCGGAAUUCCGAGUGUAGCGGUGAAAUGCGUAGAUAUUCGGAGGAACACCGGUGGCGAAGGCGGCCAACUGGGCUUUAACUGACGCUGAGGCUCGAAAGUGUGGGGAGCAAACAGGAUUAGAUACC
rnacentral:rRNA from 1 species